GCAAAGAAGGCAGGGCUGCUGGGGCUGCUCAAGAAGAGAGCCAGCAGCCUCCUAUAGCACCACUACAGGCACUGAGAGGACAUAACAUCAGAGAGCGGCUCCUCUGCCCUCCAAAACAACAACUUUCCUACCAUCUUGGAGGCUCGUGGCUGAAGAAUUUUUUUUUUUUUUUAAUAAUCUGUAAAUAUCAACUCCCUGGGAAAAAAAUUAAAAGAGUCUUAGUAAACAGCUGAGAUUGAUGUCGGAUAGUUUGAUGUAACUGUACCGUAACAUCUUUCUCCCUCUCAAGGCAUUGUAAAUAAAAUUGGAUCUACAGGUACAUCCACAUUUCGAAACAUACUUUGAGUUUGCCCAGCCUGCAUGGAAGAGAGGCACACCAUGAACAACUAAUCUAUGCUGCAUCUCUCUGUGCUACUCUUAAGAAUAUCUGUACAGCACUCUUAGUAUCUUGGAACUGUAUUUUUUAAAUGGGAUGCAGAUAAUUCAACAUUUUAGAGAAAUGGCUGUGAAUUCACUUGAGAAGCUGAGCACAGAAACAAUAUUAAACCUUUUCUUGGGCUUAUGUGUUUGUCUUUGCAGAUACUGACUUUAAUCAGAUUACUUGCCUGCCUAAAUUUAACCAUGCGUCGUGGUAGCAUUACACAUUUUGGUGACAUCCUAAGAUCUAUUAAUUCAGUCUUUUUAAGGAGGAGAAAGAAAAGAGGAAAAAUUUGCCAGAUAUUGGUUGUGUGGACUAUUGUGUAAUCAUUCAACAGAGAAAUUAAAAAUUUGUGCUUCGUGGAUAGAUAAAUUUAUUUAACAAAACUUUAUUUAACUGAGAGUAAUUUGCUUUUUGCUAACUUACUAAGAGAUGCAAAUAUUAUUUUAACUGUUUUGAGGACAAAUUGGACUCUGAAACUUCUGAAGGACAGUGUGUAAACCCAAAGCACGAAAGUCCCCUGUACAACAUUCAGAAUUGUAUUCUGGAACUUGCAUUCUUCAGAAUGGGUCUGCCUGCCUUGAUUUAAAUCCGCCUCAUCCCUCGACCAACUACUCGAUCCACUAAACUUAUUGUACACUUGAGCACAGAGUGGUCAGAGAACAUUAAUGUUCUGUAAAUCACAGGUUCUGGCUAAUGAGGCAUUCUGUGCUGAUGUGUCUCACCUGUGUUAGUAGUGAGACAGGGCAGUGAUGCAGUGAAUAAGCUUUGUGAGUCCAAUAAGGCAAUGAAAUAGGUGCUUUAGGUUGUACACCAGUUAGUUACUGGAGGAGGCUGCAUCAAGAAAUGAACCUUGACUCUCUCCCAAGGUCGUACGCACCCCGAGUGCAGACCUCAAGAAUUUCUGGAGCAUGUCUUAGACUCUGUGCAUGUGAUGAGGACUCUUGGGUUCUCCACAAAUAGUGUUACAAUGUCGGCAUCUUGGUAUUAUUUCUUGAAAGACACAUACUGAGAGAACAGUUCCAAUGUCUUCAAAUGCUUGCUAAAGGGAUUAGCAAUUUAUUUAAAAUGCAGGUGUAUGUUGUGAAGGGGAAGAACAACUCUGAGUGUAUAGCUGUUAAUUCAAGAUGUUCUUAUCUGAAGAGCCACAUUUGUAUAGAAGAUCUUGUCUUUAGGCAUUUAAAGACUGAAAAGGAUGAGAAAUUAAAUAAAAUCCAAAGUUAUGAUAGAUUCUUCUAAGCAAUGUCUUGAGCAGCUGUGAUGUGGUAUUAGUUUGUGUAAUAGUGGCAAGUUCUGGAGUAAAGCUAACCAUUAAAUCUCAGCAUAUUAGCAUUUUUGAAAAAAUGUUUAUUCUUAUUUCUCAACAGUUCUUUAACAUGAAAAUUUUAUAGCAACCAACUGCGUAUCUGGGUUUCAGUUACCCUGCUGCAGUUGUAUGUAUUUGAUAAGCAGCAUGCUUUUUGCCACUUUUCCAAACCACAGAGUCCUUACGUUAAAAACACUGUCCAUGAUCUGAGGAUUUUUCUCUAGGAAAUGUACCUAAGUUAUGGCAUAAAUUGAGCUUCUUAAACCAGCGGCUAAACUCCUUCAUACCCGUGCUUUAGUGCACUCCUGUGUGGCAGAUAGCACAGCUGAAACUAUAGGACAUGCCCUAUAUACAGCAGAGUAACUUUGCUUUACUUUGUUUAAAGCCCUAAAUGCUAGCAAAGCAACACAACAUACCCAAGACUAGCCUCGUUUUCCUGAGUGUUAGGGGCUUCAUUAAAGCUUUUUUCAGCAAUGGGAAUUUUGCUGUGGGUUUCAGUAAGAGUAUAGCUGCAGAAGUAUUUAACCAGUUGGGAACAGAUGUAUGCGCUAUUACAUGAUAAUAUAAUUAAUUGAUAGUGAACUGUACUGAAAAUAGUAAUUAACUAAGACUUCACUAAUCUGUUCUUCAUUAUCAAUGUGUAUUUUAAUCUGCAUUAAAUAAAUGAUAUUGUCUUCCUAAAGCUCAGCAAAGACAAAACAGUAAGACUGUUAAUUGUGGGAAGGUUGUCCAGAGUACGUUGGGCAUCUGUGGAGACCUCUUUAAAUAGAGGACAAAUUAAUGCAAUAAGCUGUCCCAGCAGAAUGCUCUAAUACCAUCCCGUUUUACUGGGAAGCCCUCUGUUAAUUCAAAGUAUACUAUUUUAUUUUUACUGUCUGCUUCUGUCUAUUGAUAUUUCAUUAACUGUAAUUGUAGUGGUUAAGCAGCUCCACACUUUAUCACCAGUCCUCUCUGCCAUUAGUCCAGUUAUUCAUUUAUAUUCAGGUUGCAGAGGGUCUUGGUCACCACUGCAGGAUGGAAAGAUGAGAAUUCCCACUCUGGACCAAAUCAACAGUCCCUUAAGUCUUCUGAGAGCAGCUUCCAACAAAGGUGUGGAAUAUCCUGUGAUGGAUAAUUGAGAAGUAAAGGGCAUGCAGGACAGGAUUUUUCUAAAAUAGUUGGAGCUGAUCUAACAUCAAAGCCUAAAGCUUAAUUAGUGUCUAGGGUCAUGGGAUUCCAGUGGAUUUUGAAAGUUUUUUGUUACACAUGAAGUGUUUUGCUCUUAGUAUGUUUCUUUUUGAUACAUGGUUCUCAUCUCUGCUCCGUUUCAAACAUAAAACAUAGAUGUACAGAUGAUGACAAGAAGAAAUAAAACUAUUUAUUGGAAAUAUUAGUUAAUUAUAUUCAAAAUUCAGCAUUGGCUGAGUGAGGAGAUGUCUCUACUACCUCUUAUGCCUCUAAAUCUCAGUAGGCUUCUCAGCAUUAGGCACUGUGAAUAGAUGUGUACAUAUAGCUGGAGGAAAACAUAAUUAUUAACAAUGUUUAGCAUAGCAGGCUUUGCUGAUUAUGGAAUCACUAAUUUUGUUUGAAUUCCAAGACUUUAUAUAGGUUAUUUAUGUCUCUCUGGGCCAUCUUUCUGUGGUCCUGAGCUAUGGAGAGUUGGAAUAACCUGGGUACUUUUGGACACUUCGCUGACAUCAUUCCAUCAACUAAUAUGUGUUACUGGCAUUUUAUGGAAAAUAAUAAUCUGUUAACAUCUAUUAAAAAAUUGAAAAUAU